rnacentral:rRNA from 1 species
GACGAACGCUGGCGGCGUGCUUAACACAUGCAAGUCGAACGGUGAUGACAGGGCUUGCCUUGUCGGAUCAGUGGCGAACGGGUGAGUAACACGUGAGCAACCUGCCCCAGACUCUGGGAUAACCCCGGGAAACCGGAGCUAAUACCGGAUAUGACCCUUGUACGCAUGUGCUGGGGGUGGAAAGUUUUUCGGUCUGGGAUGGGCUCGCGGCCUAUCAGCUGGUUGGUGAGGUAGUGGCUCACCAAGGCGACGACGGGUAGCCGGCCUGAGAGGGCGACCGGCCACACUGGGACUGAGACACGGCCCAGACUCCUACGGGAGGCAGCAGUGGGGAAUAUUGCACAAUGGGCGAAAGCCUGAUGCAGCGACGCCGCGUGAGGGAUGACGGCCUUCGGGUUGUAAACCUCUUUCAGCAGGGAAGAAGCGGAAGUGACGGUACCUGCAGAAGAAGCACCGGCUAACUACGUGCCAGCCGCCGCGGUAACAC